AACGUCAACCGUCGCCCGCCCUGUGCACAUUGGAUCGCCGUCCGGUCAAAAAGUCUCUCGCCUCUUCCAAAUUAUUUCCGAACCGCCGUUUAGAAACUUUUCCCCUCCGACGAAAUUCAACCGAUUUCCGUGGAAAUCUCUUUCGGGAAAUUCGCCCCGGCCCGCUUAAAACCCUGGGCGAAACCUAACGACAGAAGUUUACGUUGGCAACGAAGGUUUAUUUAUACAGUAUGAGGGCGAACUGGACUGCGUUGGUGUAAAUAAUCUCGUAUAUCGAAAAGAAAGUCAACUCGUUUCAAUCAAACACUCGCCUGUCACACUUUUCUCGACCGAUUACAAGGGAAAACGCCAGUUUCUAGAGAGUUUCUCGUACCUUUUAGAAAUGUAGCCUUCGCCACGAACGUCUCGUUUUAAUCGGCAAAUACGUUUCAUUUCGAGCGAAUCUACAUUAAACAGUUAUGCUCACGAUGGAUACGAAUAACGGCGUUUUAGAGUCAGCCAACGAGUUCAUUAAAGAUCAGUUGUAUUUUGUUACGCUGAGAACAUCGGUUACUCCUAAAUCAACAAUCAACACACACUAUUUCAGUAUCGACGAGGAAUUUAUCUAUGAAAACUUUUAUUCCGAUUUUGGCCCUCUUAACUUGGCUAUGUUAUAUCGCUACUGUUUAAAAUUAAACAGAAAGAGAAGGGUUGCUUCUCAGACACAGAAGAAAAUUGUACAUUACACAACUGUAGAUCCACAAAAAAGAGUGAAUUCAGCAUAUUUAAUAGCUUCAUAUGCAAUACUUUAUUUAAAACUAACACCAGAAGAGGCUUACAGUAUAUUAGUUGAUGGAGUGGAGCAACCAUUUAUUCCAUUUAGAGAUGCAUCAUGCGGCGUUUCCGUAUUCCCGAUAACACUUCUAGAUUGUUUGCAAGCUGUUUACAAAUCGCAUCACUUGGGUUUUUUCAAUUUUGAGGACUUUGAUGUUGAAGAAUAUGAACGAUACGAGAAAGUCGAGAAUGGAGAUCUGAAUUGGAUAGUGCCUCAGAAAUUUAUCGCGUUUUGUGGACCUCACGCAUUUAAUAAAAUAGAGAACGGUUAUCCUCUGCACUCUCCAGAAUCAUACUUUAACUACUUCAGAAAAAACAAUAUCACAACAGUGGUCCGUCUAAACAACAAAAAAUAUAAUUCAGCCCGCUUCACAAAUUCCGGUUUUGCUCACAUGGAUUUAUUUUUUGUGGACGGCAGUACACCAAGCGAUCACAUCAUGAAACAGUUUUUAUCAAUCUCCGAAUCAGCAGCAGGAGCAGUUGCUGUUCACUGCAAAGCUGGUUUGGGGAGGACUGGUUCAUUAAUUGGCUGUUACAUCAUGAAACAUUAUAACUUUAAUGUUGCUGAGGCAAUUGCAUGGAUUAGGAUAUGCAGACCUGGGUCAAUUAUUGGGCACCAACAACAAUGGUUGAAUGAAAAAGAACAACAAAUGUGGCAGUUGGGAAAUAAAUACAGAGAAUCAUUAUUUGGUUCUCCAACAAAAUUUCCAGUACACAGCUAUGGAAUUUAUAGUAAAAAAUUGAAAAAACUUUUGGCACAUUAUGGGCCUAAAUCGAUGAGAAAUCAGCUACUUCAGUAUCCCGAUUCAAUUUCAAAGAUCCUGUCAAAAGUUGAUGCUACAAAAAUCAGGGAUAAAACUAACUUUGAAAAUAAAGUGAAAAAAGAACCAGCUAGAAAGAUUGAGGCAGAAGACAGUACCACUACCCUGAAUUGUCUACAAAGCCCUCUUACCCAAGGAGAUCAUCUAAAUCAAAUCAAAGUUAUGAGGAAGAAAAUUCGACCGGUAAAUGCUGUCGUUAGGACUUCUUGCCUGAAAGAUAACUCAUCAGAUACCAUCCCAGAAACACCUACCAAGGUUAGGAAAACAUCAAUAAAUAUGGUUCCGAAAAGGCCAACUAGAUCAGGAAUCUCUAGAAGAACUGUGUGGCUUGGAAAUUCAGUUUAUGGCACUAGAACAUUGGUACGCCCUAACAUAGCUAAAGCAAACAUAAGUUGCUUAAGGCCCAUAACUCGUUCUCUUACUAAAUCAGCUGUUAGUACUGAUUGUUCUCAGACUUCUUCACUUCGUAACUCCUCUAACACACGCCCUGUUACUUCACGUCUGAAUAAGCAGAAUCGAGUCAACUAAGGCGAUUGACCGUUUUUCCAAUAAGGAUUCUUAUUAUAAAUACUUGGCUUGUUACCUUUAAAGAAAUUACCAUGACAUAAAGGGCAAAGAGUAGACCAAUAAAUUGGCUAAGGACAGAUCAUCAGGACUGAGGACACAUUGGCCUGGAAUUUUGCCAAAAGCGACAGAAGCAAGUGGAAAAGACCAUUUCAGAAAGACAGAAGAACUACUAAAUUUAGCAUGUAACUACUAAGACCUAGCAUAGGACUACCGACCGACUGGACCUGCAUAUUCCAGACACAUGUAUAAUCUUGGAGCGGCAGAAACAAGCUUGUACAGAUAUCGACAAGAAGGCCUCUAUGCAAGUUGAGAUUCUUAUUCCUAGGAGAGGAAAUGCCUGAAGGAUAACUUGUGAAGGCUUAACGAAGUUUUCGGAUCUGAUAAAAAAACCCAAGCUUAACGAAGAUCACAAACAUAAGGAUUGGGCUAGGAAAAACACUACAAGCCCCGAACAGAAAUGAAGGGAACUUUUAUGAAAUGAAAUUGGAAACACAUGUGUGAAGGGCUCAUGAUCUGCAUUCAGUAGUCGGCUUGUUAAUACCACUGGAGUUUGGAAAACCACAGAAAACCAAAUAAAAUAAUCUUGAAACAGUCAUAGCGGUUUAAAGGUAUUAAAAUAAAACAACAAUAAAUUUGUCAAUUAUUAGGUAAGCUCAUAAAACAAGUCGAUAUAUAAAGAUUUCACCUUUACACUUAGGAUGAGUACCACCACAUCACUUUAGCAGAAGUAAUUAUAAAAGAGCAGGUAAAUUUGCUGCAAUUGCGUAGAACUUUUUAAAUUGUCAUAUUAUAAUUGAGCAUUAAAUUCAGUCUGAUUUCAUAAAAUGAUAAACAUAACUAAAGGAACAUUAAAACAAACAUUUUACAUAUGAAAAGUUUUGAUUUUAUUUUUUAUAAUAAAUUGCAAUAAAUACAUACAAUUUGAAUUUGUAUAAUGGCUGAUUCCAACCUGUUCUCCAUUGAAGUUUUGUAUUAGGAGAUUCUUUUUUUUCUUUCUUUCCUUUCUUUUAUUUUUUUAUAAAUACUACAAAAUUUUGUUUUUAAAAAUCACUGGAAUAAGCCACUAAAGGCUGCAUACAUUUUGAGUAUACAUACAUGCUCAAAAGUGUAAAACAAUUUAUAUUUAGUAAUAAAAUAAAAAAAAAUUUCUUUUCAUUACAGAACAUUGCUUAUUAUGUUUAUUGAUACAAAUCUCAUUAUCACAAUUUUUACUUUAUUUAGU
rnacentral:misc_RNA from 1 species